rnacentral:tRNA from 1 species
CGCUACGGACUUAAUUUAAAAUCCGUCGACUUUAAAAAUCAUGAGGGUUCAAGUCCCUCUAUCCCCA